rnacentral:rRNA from 1 species
AGUGAACGCUGGCGGUAGGCCUAACACAUGCAAGUCGAACGGCAGCACAGUAAGAGCUUGCUCUUACGGGUGGCGAGUGGCGGACGGGUGAGGAAUACAUCGGAAUCUACUUUUUCGUGGGGGAUAACGUAGGGAAACUUACGCUAAUACCGCAUACGACCUACGGGUGAAAGCAGUGGAUCUUCGGACCUUGCGCGAUUGAAUGAGCCGAUGUCGGAUUAGCUAGUUGGCGGGGUAAAGGCCCACCAAGGCGACGAUCCGUAGCUGGUCUGAGAGGAUGAUCAGCCACACUGGAACUGAGACACGGUCCAGACUCCUACGGGAGGCAGCAGUGGGGAAUCUUGGACAAUGGGCGCAAGCCUGAUCCAGCCAUACCGCGUGGGUGAAGAAGGCCUUCGGGUUGUAAAGCCCUUUUGUUGGGAAAGAAAAGCAGCAGGUUAAUACCCCGCUGUUCUGACGGUACCCAAAGAAUAAGCAACGGCUAACUUCGUG